UGUGGGAGCGAGCCUGCUCGCGAUGGCGUCAGCACAUUCAACAUCGAUGUUGACUGACACACCGCUAUCGCGAGCAGGCUCGCUCCCACA
rnacentral:ncRNA from 3 species